AACGAACGCUGGCGGCAGGCCUAACACAUGCAAGUCGAGCGAAGCCUUCGGGCUUAGCGGCGGACGGGUGAGUAACGCGUGGGAACGUGCCCUUUGGUACGGAAUAGCCCCGGGAAACUGGGAGUAAUACCGUAUGUGCCCUUCGGGGGAAAGAUUUAUCGCCAAAGGAUCGGCCCGCGUUGGAUUAGGUAGUUGGUGGGGUAAUGGCCUACCAAGCCGACGAUCCAUAGCUGGUUUGAGAGGAUGAUCAGCCACACUGGAACUGAGACACGGCCCAGACUCCUACGGGAGGCAGCAGUGGGGAAUCUUAGACAAUGGGGGAAACCCUGAUCUAGCCAUGCCGCGUGAUCGAUGAAGGCCUUAGGGUUGUAAAGAUCUUUCAGUGGGGAAGAUAAUGACUGUACCCACAGAAGAAGCCCCGGCUAACUCCGUGCCAGCAGCCGCCGUAAGAC
rnacentral:rRNA from 1 species